rnacentral:rRNA from 1 species
CGGGAGGCUCCAGCAGUGGGGAAUAUUGGACAAUGGGGGAAACCCUGAUCCAGCAAUGCCGCGUGUGUGAAGAAGGCCUGCGGGUUGUAAAGCACUUUCGGUUGGGAGGACUGCUUCUAGCACUAAUAUUGUUGGAAGUUGACGUUACCUUCAGAAGAAGCACCGGCUAACUCCGUGCCAGCAGCCGCGGUAAUAUGGAGGGUGCAAGCGUUAAUCGGAAUUACUGGGCGUAAAGCGCGCGUAGGCGGCUAGAUCAGUCGGGUGUGAAAGCCCCGGGCUUAACCUGGGAACUGCAUCCGAUACUGUCUAGCUUGAGUACAGGAGAGGAGAGUGGAAUUCCACAUGUAGCGGUGAAAUGCGUAGAUAUGUGGAGGAACACCAAUGGCGAAGGCAGCUCUCUGGCCUGAUACUGACGCUGAGGUGCGAAAGCGUGGGGAGCAAACAGGAUUAGAUACCCCCGUAGUC